AACGAACGCUGGCGGCGUGGAUUAGGCAUGCAAGUCGAACGAGAAUCUGAGAGUUCAAGUUUUCGGACAAGAAUUCUCGGAGGACAGUGGCGGAAGGGUGAGGAAUACAUGGGCAAUCUAUCUUUAAGUUGGGUAUAACUCUGCGAAAGUGGAGAUAAUCCCGAAUGUGGUGAUCCGGCGCAUGCCGGAGAAACUAAAGGCAGGGACCGCAAGGCCUGUCGCUUAAAGCCGAGCCCGUGCACUAUCAGCUAGUUGGUGAGGUAACGGCCCACCAAGGCUAUGACGGUUAGCUGGUCUGAGAGGAUGGUCAGCCACACUGGGACUGAGAUACUGCCCAGACUCCUACGGGAGGCUGCAGUCGAGAAUCAUUCGCAAUGGGCGAAAGCCUGACGGUGCGACGUCGCGUGGAGGAUGAAGGUCUUCGGAUUGUAAACUCCUGUCAUGAGGGAUAAAUAGCCAGGGCACGAAUAAUGCCUUGGAAUGAUAGUACCUCAGGAGGAAGAGACGGCUAACUCUGUG
rnacentral:rRNA from 1 species